UGCGGGCAGCUUUGGCUCGCACUGGGCUUUCAUGACCUUGCUCUGAGCAGAGACACUGGUGAGGCCAAGGGCUCCGUCCUCAUCCUGCUGAGAGAUCAUUUUAUCUCCUCCGCCGCCUUCUCAGCCAUUUGAUCCCAUACCGCCGCUUCACUCCUGGGAAAGGAUCUACCAUAUUUUGAAGAUCCAAUGUUUUGGAUUGCCAUAUGGAGAGAGAUGAGGAACUCUGUGUUCUGAAGUAGACAGCAUCUCCUGUGAGAUUUGAAUAAAAGAAUAAUCGGGACCUCAACAGGAGAGAUUGUGAAGU